rnacentral:rRNA from 1 species
UAGUCUCGCACAGAUGCAUAUCAAUAAGCGGAGGAAAAGAAACUAACAAGGAUUCCCUUAGUAACGGCGAGUGAAGCGGGAAGAGCUCAAAUUUGAAAUCUUCAAGGUUUUACCUUGACGAAUUGUAGUUUAAAGAAGUGUUUUCUGUUGAAGUUUUGGUAAAAGUUCUUUGGAAUAGGACAUCAUAGAGGGUGAGAAUCCCGUAUUUGACCAUUAUUUUCAGCUGUGUGAUACACUUUCAAAGAGUCGGAUUGUUUGGGAAUGCAGUCCAAAAUGGGUGGUAAAUUUCAUCUAAAGCUAAAUAUUGGCGAGAGACCGAUAGCGAACAAGUACCGUGAGGGAAAGAUGAAAAGAACUUUGAAAAGAGAGUUAAACAGUACGUGAAAUUGUCAAAAGGGAAGCGUUUGACACCAGUGUUGUUUUCUCGAAAAUCAAUUAAAAAGAGUUAGAUUUUGUUGUGUAUUGACCUUAACAGCUUGCAUUUCAAUUUUCUUGCUUUUUUUAAUGCACUUUUCGUUUAACAAGUCAACAUCAGUUUCUUUUGUUGUAAAAAGGUCAUUGGAAGGUGGCUUUCUUUUCGGAGAAAGUGUUUAUAGCCUUUGACUCCUGCAAUCGGAGAGACUGAGGUCUGCAGCGUAGAUCCUUCGGGGUUAGAUACAUUUGUGCUAAGUUAUAGCUUUUUAUAGACAACUUGUUGACUAUGAUUAGUCUUGUAGCUUACUCGCUUAUGCUAUUUUACCUACGCUUAGGAUGUUGAGCGCAUGUCUCUCUCU